rnacentral:lncRNA from 1 species
GUUUGGUGCCCAGCCCGUCAUCCCCACACCGAAGCAACAGAUUUGAUCACCAUGACGAAGGCGAUUAGCUGUUGCAAAGGACUUACCAUGAAGACCGCCCGUAGGACAGAAUCCUUCACAAUGCCUUCAAACAUGCUUCAAAGAUGCUUCGAACCUCAUGCUUCGAACCUCAUGCUUCAAACCUCAUGCUUCGAACCUCAUGCUUCGAACCUCAUGCUUCGAACAUCAUGCUUCGAACCUCAUGCUUCAAACAUCACGCUUCAAACAUACUGAGUUCUAGCUAUUACGCGUGAUAAUAGAUGGUAGACUAAGAUCUUUCCCGCAUGGCUAAAUAAAGUCUACGGUGACAGGACAUCCUCAUCCAGGGUCAAGCCGAGAAGUUAUAUAACAAGAGGAAUCAUUAACGGAUCGGAUAAGGUACGGUCCGUCUUGCUGGUUCCGUUGGCGUCUGAACCUUGAUAGAACCUCGAUGUCUCUCGCCUCCAAGAACGCCUGGCAGGAGAAGAUAGCGAAGGGGGAAAGGGGGGGGGGGUUGAUUAAAUGGAAAAUGUUGUGC